ACACUAAAACCCAAAUCCUAAUUCUAGGCCCAAUUGGGUAAAGCCCAAAUCAAUAAACCCAAAAUAAUCCUCCUUCCUCUUUUCUUUUUCACGUGAAACCAACAAACCUCCUUCUUGCUUUAGACUUCACGUGAAAAACAAACUUCCAAACCCUGCUUCAGCACUUCGUGUUCUCCUCCUCACUUCAGUCGCCUGUCGCACCACCGUAGUGACCACCGCCGUCGAGCCAUCACCUCCGCCGUCCGCGACCACCACCAUCAACCAGACACCACCACCAGCAGCCGCGCAACCACCGCGUCGCCCUGCUGCUGCCGUACCCUCCACGCACAGCAGCACUCCUCUUUCUUCUCCACGCGUUCGUCUUCCCUUCUUCACGUCGUGCAACGACCUCCCUGCCACCUGAACCGCCGUCGCGCCACCAACCUUCGCGACCAUUUGUUCCUGCUGCCGCCGCCCCUUGUCGUCGGCCAGCCUCUUCUUCUCCCCUUCUUGUUUUGGCGAAGAAUUCUUUGUAGGCGACUUUUGAAUUCGUUAAAGUGGCCUAUCAGUUUGUUUACACAAGGUACGUACAUACCUGUGUGCUUGGAUGUGUGUUGUAUUGAGAAUAUGAUGAAUAUAUUUAUGAACUUGUUUAUGUUGGAAUUUCAUGUUCAAUGUCGUUGAAUUAAUGCGCUGAGCAUAGAACUUUAUUUAUAAGAAUUGAAUCAUGUUAGCAUGGAAUAUUGAUGCAAGCAUGUUGUUUUGAGGAACUUUAUAGUAUUUAAUAUUGGUUUAGAUCUUUAUUGAUCGUUGUUCCUCUUUAGAUUUUCACUACUUUAUAAGGGCCGAGGACCUUGUUUGGUAGUUGAACCUUAUACCUAAUAAAGGUUUUUAAAUAUGGAUAAAGGAAGGAUUAAAAUAGUUGGAAUUGGCUCUUGGUUGAACGUUGUGAUCACUUGUUUAAUUCAAAGAUAAAAGAAGUUGUGUUUACUUGUUGAAUAUAAUAUUUAUGUUUGAUGAGUCAUAACCAAGUAUUAAAAGUUAAGUCAUGUAAAGUGAAAAUGAGUAGCAAUAGCUUUAGACUGUGCACGUCUAAAGUGACGGACAAUCAGGAGUUGGGGUCAUGGGUAGCCUAUGAUUUUUUCUGGGGCCGGAUUGAUCACCGGUUCUAUUUUUAUUUAAAAGUCCCUCGAUAUCGCAGGUCAUUGGGGUUUACGGAGUCGCGCCCGUACCUCGUCUUCCUUAGUGAAGAAGAAGAAGUUUCUAGUAGCAACUCGGUCCAUUGACUAUUUCAAUUAAAAUAAUGUUAUUGUUGUAAAAGUCUAGUCCAGUGUAGCCUAGCCUAGUAAAGUGUUGUCGUCAAAUUAACAUGUUUUGUCUGCCCUUACUCGUGUUUUAUUAGUACCAUGUUAGGUUUGUUCGUUCAAUAGUAUCAUGUUAGGAUUAUUAUUGUUUUAGUAUGUAGUACUCAGCUUUGCUGAUUACGUGCUUUUGCUUGUGCAUGUUGAUCAUGGCUAUGCCUUAUUGAUCCUGUGAUGACCCAAUCUUUGGUGAGCAGUCUCUAAGGAUCAAUAAGCAUUGUCCAUCUGCAGGUUUGAAGAUGUUGCAUCAUUGGGAUCGGGAAUAGAGAGCUUGUAUUUAGUUUUGAUUUGCUAAGUUAACUUGGGUUUGUUAAUUGGGACUUUAAACUUGUCGUACUAUUUAUAUUUCCUUAUUUUCGUUGGAUGAUUUUGGGAUUAAACCUGUAAUCGAUUAUUUAUAAACCUAGAGUUAGUCUUA